CGGGACACGUGGUAUCCUGUCUGAAUAUGGGGGGACCAUCCUCCAAGGCUAAAUACUCCUGACUGACCGAUAGUGAACCAGUACCGUGAGGGAAAGGCGAAAAGAACCCCGGCGAGGGGAGUGAAAAAGAACCUGAAACCGUGUACGUACAAGCAGUGGGAGCACGCUUAGGCGUGUGACUGCGUACCUUUUGUAUAAUGGGUCAGCGACUUAUAUUCUGUAGCAAGGUUAACCGAAUAGGGGAGCCGAAGGGAAACCGAGUCUUAACUGGGCGUUAAGUUGCAGGGUAUAGACCCGAAACCCGGUGAUCUAGCCAUGGGCAGGUUGAAGGUUGGGUAACACUAACUGGAGGACCGAACCGACUAAUGUUGAAAAAUUAGCGGAUGACUUGUGGCUGGGGGUGAAAGGCCAAUCAAACCGGGAGAUAGCUGGUUCUCCCCGAAAGCUAUUUAGGUAGCGCCUCGUGAAUUCAUCUCCGGGGGUAGAGCACUGUUUCGGCAAGGGGGUCAUCCCGACUUACCAACCCGAUGCAAACUACGAAUACCGGAGAAUGUUAUCACGGGAGACACACGGCGGGUG
rnacentral:rRNA from 1 species